rnacentral:rRNA from 1 species
ACUCAAAGGAAUAGACGGGGACCCGCACAAGCAGUGGAGCGCCUGGUUUAAUUCGAUGACCAACGAAGAACCUCACCUGGGCUUAAACAGUAGCUGUGUCUCGGUGGAAACACUGAGAGUCUUAGAGAUCGCUACAGAGGUGCUGCAUGGCUGUCGUCAGCUCGUGUCGUGAGAUGUCGGGUUAAGUCCCACAACGAGCGCAACCCCUUUCAGAUGUUAAAAUUACUUCUGAUACUGCCUCGCCACAACGAGGAGGAAGGAGGGGACGACGUCCAGUCAUCAUAUCCCUUAUGUCCAGGGCUACACAGACGCUACAAUGGUUACUACAAUGGGUUGCCAAGCCGCAAGGCGGAGCUAAUCCCAUCAAAAGUAGCCUCAGUUCGGAUUGCAGGCUGCAACUCGCCUGCAUGAAGUCGGAAUUGCUAGUAAUCGCGUAUCAGCAUGACGCGGUGAAUACGUUCUCGGGUCUUGUACACACCGCCCGU